rnacentral:rRNA from 1 species
UUGAACGCUGGCGGCAUGCUUUACACAUGCAAGUCGAACGGCAGCGCGGGCUUCGGCCUGGCGGCGAGUGGCGAACGGGUGAGUAAUGCAUCGGAACGUGCCCAGUAGUGGGGGAUAGCCCGGCGAAAGCCGGAUUAAUACCGCAUACGACCUGAGGGUGAAAGCGGGGGACCGAAAGGCCUCGCGCUAUUGGAGCGGCCGAUGUCGGAUUAGCUAGUUGGUGGGGUAAAGGCUUACCAAGGCGACGAUCCGCAGCUGGUCUGAGAGGACGACCAGCCACACUGGGACUGAGACACGGCCCAGACUCCUACGGGAGGCAGCAGUGGGGAAUUUUGGACAAUGGGGGCAACCCUGAUCCAGCCAUGCCGCGUGCGGGAAGAAGGCCUUCGGGUUGUAAACCGCUUUUGUUCGGGAAGAAAUCCUCUGGGCUAAUACCCCGGGGGGAUGACGGUACCGGAAGAAUAAGCACCGGCUAACUACGUG